ACCAGGGUCCUCUCACAGGCCCAGACCCUGGUCUGCCCCCAACCUUUACAGGCUUUUAUAACGAGGGUUUUAAUUAACUCUAACUCAGGUGUGUUUUCAGUAAGUCAGGUGUGUCAGGUGUAACUCAGGUGUAACUCAGGUGUGUCAGCUGUAACUCAGGUGUAACUCAGGUGUUAUAGCUGUAACUCAGGUGUAACUCAGGUGUGUCAGGUGUAACUCAGGUGUGUCAGGUGUAACUCAGGUGUAACUCAGGUGUGUCAGGUGUAACUCAGGUGUAACUCAGGUGUUAUAGCUGUAACUCAGGUGUAACUCAGGUGUGUCAGGUGUAACUCAGGUGUGUCAGGUGUAACUCAGGUGUAACUCAGGUGUGUCAGG